rnacentral:lncRNA from 1 species
CCCUUCAGGAGGCUGCAGAGGCCUACCUGGUGGGUCUCUUCGAGGACACCAACCUGUGCGCCAUCCAUGCCAAGCGUGUGACCAUCAUGCCCAAGGACAUUCAGCUGGCUAGGAGGAUCCGUGGCGAGAGGGCUUAAGCUGCUUUGCCUGUGGGAAUGGCUCUGGUGGGCAUAGCUCCGUGUGUCUGCUUUUGCUGCUGAACACUUAUCAUGUGUCGUGAACUACUAAUAUUAGUCGUCUGUAGUAAUAUGUCAGUACUAUAUUCUGUGUCGUACUAUGUUCUAGAGCUGGAUCAUUUGUUCGUUGGUCGUCCUGAAGCAUCCACAUGGCGGGUUCUUAUCUGAACCUUACAUUUUAUGUUCGAGGAUUAGUGAUUGUGUGAACUGUUAUUAUGUGCCUGUGUCUCGUUUUAUUUGUAUCUCUGUGAUGCAAGUUUGAAUAGGGGGGUCCUUCUGUGCUAGUAGCACGAGGGCUAGUCAGGUUGCUGGCAAGUGAAAUUUCUGAUCAUCUAGAGUGUUUGCAAUUCCUGUUGUAUACGCUUUCUGUAGUUUAGCCAUGCCUAGACCCAAAAGUUGUUCCAGCCGAAUAGUAAGUUGUGGGAGUACAUCCUACAAAUUAGCUAUCGAAAUUAGAUUGCUCUAUAAUAUAUCUGGAAAGUAGAAAAUGUGCAGGGAAAUGACAAAAUUUGAUGAUACCAGUGAGCAAGUAAAAAAACCAUCGAGUCUCACUUCUGGAGUGGUUUAACGGGGGCCAAAGAUUUCCAGCCAAUUAGAAAGACUGCAAUCUUUAUCUCUAAUCCAUGUUGGCAGUGUUCUAGUCACUCUGUUCCUAAAUACUCCCUCCGUCUCAAAAUUCUUGUCUUAGAAUUAUCUAUAUAUGAAUGUAUCUAGUCACAUUUUAGUAUUUUGAUACAUCCAUUUCUAGACAAACCUAAGACAAGAAUUUUGGGACGGAGGGAGUAUAAGUCUUCUAAGAGAUUUUACUAGGGUUUAUAUAUAGAAUAAAACGAGUAAAUCUAUACUUCAAAAUAUAUCUAUAUGCAUUCGUAUGUAGUUCAUCAGUGAAAUCUUUACAAAGACUUAUAUUUAGGAACAGAGGAAAUAGAGAAGUACCGUAUAUGUUUAGGACAUGACUUGCUGCAUCCCUUAAAAAAAGGGGGCUAUAACUUGUUAUGGGACCGAGGGAGUAGAUUGCAAAAAGCAAGUGUUCUAUGUGAGAAUAGCACAUAAUCGAAAGAUUUGUUGCAUAUACGAUAGCACUAAUUUUUUUAAAUUGAAGAGCCCAUAUUCAGUCGAGGUCUCCAAUUAACAUUGUAACAUCUGAUUUUGACCUGAUCAAUAAUGUUUCAAAACUCUUCCAUUUAAUUGUUUUAUUUAUACCUUUAUAACACUGUACUUUUUAGUUUUAGAGAGUCACAUUUAGUUUAGGUUUUCAAGACUUCAAUUAAAAUUGAGUUGGGUCAAUAAUUUCUUAGAACUCUCUCGUUCAAUUCUAUAGACAAAUACAUUAUGCUUUCUAACGAUUUGGUUUAUGAUUUUGAUCGAACUAAUAGUUUCUUAAAUCAAUCAACAACAACAGGACUAUAAAAACAUAUCAAUCACGCCCGUGCAGCCGUUGACGUAGAAUUUUUUCCACAUAUAUAAGGCUGGUUAGCAUAUAAUAUAGAAUCACACCAUGAAAUGCUCAUCAAAAUACCGAAUUAUAAAUAAAAAUAAAACACACUAUGUCAUCUCCCGCCACAUCAAAUGAAAUAAUCCAUUAGUUCCGAAAUAUAAGGGGUAUUAGUUUUUUGGAAGAUCAAAUUCUUCAACUUUGACCAAGUUGACGAAUUAUAGAUAAAAAUAAAACACACUGUGUCAUCUCCCGCCACAUCAAAUGAAAUAAUCCAUUAGUUCCGAAAUAUAAGGGGUAUUAGUUUUUUGGAAGAUCAAAUUCUUCAACUUUGACCAAGUUGAGAGCAAAAAUAUGAACACCCACAAUAUUAAAUAAAAAAAAUAUGAUAAUUCAUUUAAUGAUGAAUCUAAUCAUAAUAAUUUGACAUUAUGAAUUUUAAUAUAUUUAUUUAUAAAUUUAAUCAAAUUCGAAAGGUUUGAUAUUUUAAAAAAGUAAUACAAUUGUAUUUUGAAACAGAGUAAUCAGUUUUUUUAAUCUAACGACACGGAAAAACGCACCUAGUCUUUCUAGACAUUUAAAUUUGCGUGUUUGAAUAGAGAUGGACAUGGCAUUGACGCGCGGGAGACACGCCCUUGUCCUUUCCUGACUUGUCCGCCAAGGACGCAUGCACCCUUUCCCCUCAUAACACAUCUACUCGUCCCUGUCAUAGUCGUCGCAGCCGCCGUCGGGAGUAGAGAGACCCGCAUCAAAUGAUUCAUCCGUGGAUGAUGAGGAGCUUGUGGUGGCUGCAUUGGAGCUGGGGCAACUGGGGUUGUAGCCCUAGGCAUGGCCCAACUAGCAGCUAUGCACAUAGUAGCAAACAUUUGAGGAUUUAUGAUCCAUAGAAGCCCACGGCAUUUCCUAUUUAGCGCGCUGCAGGCGCAUGUUAUAGUGCAUUUUCGCAAACGGGAGCCUGCAGCUGCUGCGAGCUUGGUCUGCCCAUGUAUGUCUUCUUCUCUUUUCUCUUUCUCGUUUACAUUUCGAAAAACGCACCUAGUCCUUCUAGACAUUUAAAUUUGGUCGUGUUUGAAUAGAGAUGGACAUGGCAUUGACGCGCGGGAGACACGCCCUUGUCCUUUCCUGACUUGUCCGCCAAGGACGCAUGCACCCUUUCCCCUCGUAACACAUCUACUCGUCCCUGUCAUAGUCGUCGCAGCCGCCGCCGGGAGUAGAGAGACCCGCAUCAAAUGAUUCAUCCGUGGAUGAUGAGGAGCUUGUGGUGGCUGCAUUGGAGCUGGGGCAACUGGGGUUGUAGCCCUAGGCGUGGCCCAACUAGCAGCUAUAUGCACAUAGUAGCAAACAUUUGAGGAUUUAUGAUCCAUAGUCCGCCAAGGACGCAUGCACCCUUUCCCCUCAUAACACAUCUACUCGUCCCUGUCAUAGUCGUUGCAGCCGCCGCCGGGAGUAGAGAGACCCGCAUUAAAUGAUUCAUCCGUGGAUGAUGAGGAGCUUGUGGUGGCUGCAUUGGAGCUGGGGCAACUGGGGUUGUAGCCCUAGGCGUGGCCCAACUAGCAGCUAUGCACAUAGUAGCAAACAUUUGAGGAUUUAUGAUCCAUAGAAGCCCACGGCAUUUCCUAUUUAGCGCGCUGCAGGCGCAUGUUAUAGUGCAUUUUCGCAAACGGGAGCCUGCAGCUGCGAGCUGGGUCUGCCCAUGUAUGUCUUCUUCUCUUUUCUCUUUCUCGUUUAAAGUUCGAAAAACGUGCGUUCGAGGAGAUUCGAACUUGGAAUCAGGUGUAACGGCAACAACACACUUACCGCUAGGCCAUCGACCGUGUAACGCUUCUAAACUUGCCUCUCUAUUCUUAUUUGUGCAUUCACUCGCAAGAAUUUCCAGAAACUCACAAUCUGGAUUUUUACUGGUUCGCUAGUCAUUUCCGGCCGUUUUAUGCAGGUUUUUCUUAUUUCUUCUUCCUUGUUUGGAAUGUUGUUAUUUUCUCAUCGGAUUUGUAUUUUUUUUUCAAAUGAUGAACAAUUUUUGAAAAUUUGAACUUUUUGUUCAAAUGCAAUGAACUGUUUUUUAAAUUCGUUGAACUUUUUUAGCAUUCGAUGAUUAUUUUUUCCAAUAAUCGGUUAACUUUUUUCAAAACCGUUGAACUUUUUUGUUCAAAUGCGAUGAACUAUUUCCAAAUUCAUUGAACUUUUUUCACAUUCGAUGAACUUUUUUUUUCAAAAUCGGUGAACGUUUUUAAAAAUCAAUGAACUCUUUUCAAAUUUGAUGAACUUUUCUUUAAAAUUAGUGAACUUCUUUUAAAAUCGUUCAUUUUUUUCAAAGUUAAUGAUUUUUUCUAAAAUUUAAAUGAACUUUUCUGAAAAUUCGAUUGACUUUAUAAAAAUUGGUUGAUCUUUCUGAAAUUCAUGAAUUUUUUUCAUUUUUAUUUCUUUUUAUUUAUUAUUAAAGUUAACGGUUGACGAGUCAAUUGAUUUUUUUAGGGGAAAGCUAAGCUUUAUUGAUUAUAAUCCACAUAAGGUGGGAUACAAAUCGGAUCAUGGGAGUUUGCCAACCAUACAUGGCGUUCAGGUCCGAAAGAGCGAGAGUACUUAGCUAAGUCAUGUGCUUCGCCGUUAACAUUGCGGCUUUCAAAAAUAAAAUUACAAUGAAAAAUAGAUGCUCGGCGUUUGAUCUCUGUGAUGAUUGCCCUGUUGGAGAACGUCGCAUGGGAAACAAAAAAAAUCCUACGCGCACGAAAACCUAUCAUGGUGAUGUUCAUCUACGAGGGGGAUUUCAGAUCUACGUACCCUUGUAGAUCGCACAGCAGAAGCGUUAAUAAACGCGGUUGAUGUAGUGGAACGUCCUCACGUCCCUCGAUCCGCCCCGCGAACCGUCACACGAACCGUCCCGCGAUCCGCUCCGAUCUAGUGCCGAACGGACGACACCUCCGCGUUCAGCACACGUACAGCUCGACGAUGAUUUCGACCUUCUUGAUCCAGCAAGAGAGACGGAGAGUUAGAUGAGUUCUCCGGCAGCGUGACAGCGCUCCGGAGGUUGGUGGUGAUCUAAUCUCAGCAAGGCUCCGCCCGAGCUCCGUAGAAAUGCGAUCUAGAGGAAAAAUCGUGGAGGUAUGUGGUCGGGCUGGAAAAGUUGUCUCAAAUCAGCCCUAAAAACUCCAUAUAUAUAGGGGGGAGGGGAGGGGCCUUGCCUUUGGGCUCAAGGAGCCCCAAGUGGUUCGGCCGAUGGGUGGGAGGAGGAGUCCUCCUCCAAUCCUAGUCCAACUAGGAUUGGAAAGUGGAGUCAUUCCCUUCCUUCCCACUUCCCCCUUUUUUUCUCCUUUGAUUUUCUAUCUCCCUCUGCAGGGGCCUCUCUGGGCUUCCCCACCAGCUCACUAAGGGCUGGUGCGGCACCCCUAAGGCCUAUGGGCUUCCCCGGGGUGGGCUGCCCCCCCCCCCCCCGGGGAACAUCCGGAACCCAUUCGUCAUUCCCGGUACAUUCCCGGUAAUUCCGAAAACCUUCCGGUAAUCAAAUGAGGUCAUCCUAUAUAUCAAUCUUCGUCUCCCGACCAUUCCGGAAACCCUCGUGACGUCCGUGAUCUCAUCUGGGACUCCGAACAACAUUUGGUAACUAACCAUAUAACUCAAAUACGCAUAAAACAACGUCGAACCUUAAGUGUGCAGACCGUGCGGGUUCGAGAACUAUGUAGACAUGACCCGAUGGACUCCUCCGUCAAUAUCCAAUAGCGGGACCUGGAUGCCCAUAUUGGAUCCUACAUAUUCUACGAAGAUCUUAUCGUUUGAACCUCAGUGCCAAGGAUUCAUAUAAUCCCGUAUGUCAUUCCCUUUGUCCUUCAGUAUGUUACUUGCCCGAGAUUCGAUCGUCAGUAUCUGCAUACCUAUUUCAAUCUCGUUUACCGGCAAGUCUCUUUACUCGUUCCGUAAUACAAGAUCCUGCAACUUACACUAAGUCACAUUGCUUGCAAGGCUUGUGUGUGAUGUUGUAUUACCGAGUGGGCCCCGAGAUACCUCUCCGUCACACGGGGUGACAAAUCCCAAUCUUGAUCUAUACUAACUCAACGGACACCUUCGGAGAUACCCGUAGAGCAUCUUUAUAGCCACCCAGUUACGUUGUGAUGUUUGAUAGACACAAAGUGUUCCUCCGGUGUCAGUGAGUUAUAUGAUCUCAUGGUCAUAGGAAUAAAUACUUAACACGUAGAAAACAGUAGCACCAAAAUAACACGAUCAACAUGCUACGUCUAUUAUUUUGGGUCUACUCCAUCACAUGAUUCUCCUAAUGGUGUGAUCCAGUUAUCAAGCAACAACACCUUGUACAUAGUCAGAAGACCCUGACUAUCCUUGAUCAACUGGCUAGCCAACUAGAGGCUUGCUAGGGACAAUGUUUUGUUUAUGUAUCCACACAUCUAUCUAAGUCUUCAUUCAAUACAAUUAUAGCAUGGAUAAUAAACGAUUAUCUUGAUACAAGAAUAAUAAUAAUAACUUAUUUAUCAUUGCCUCUAGGGCAUAAUUCCAACAGUCUCCCACUUGCAGUAGAGUCAAUAAUCUAGCCCUCACAUCACCAUGCGAAUUACAUUGUAAUAAAUCUAACACCCAUACAGUUCUGGUGUUGAUCAUGCUUUGCUCGUGGAAGAGGUUUAGUCAGCGGGUCUGCUACAUUCAGAUCCGUGUCCACUUUGCAUAUAUUUACGUCCUCCCCUUCGACGUAGUCGCGGAUGAGGUUGAAGCGUCGUUUGAUGUGUCUGGUCUUCUUGUGAAACCGUGGUUCCUUUGCUAAGGCAAUGGCACCUGUGUUGUCACAGAACAAGGUUAUUGGAUUCAGUGCGCUUGGCACCACUCCAAGAUCCGUCACGAACUGCUUCAUCCAGACACCCUCCUUAGCCGCCUCCGAGGCAGCAAUGUACUCCGCUUCACAUGUAGAAUUAGCUACGACGCUUUGCUUGGAACUGCACCAGCUUACCGCACCCCCAUUAAGAAUAAAUACGUAUCCGGUCUACGACUUAGACUCGUCCGGAUCUGUGUCAAAGCUUGCAUCAACGUAACCUUUUACGACGAGCUCUUCGUCACCUCCAUACACGAGAAACAUCUCCUUAGUCCUUUUCACGUACUUCAGGAUAUUCUUGACCGUCGUCGAGUGAUCCACUCCUGGAUUACUCUGGAACCUUCCUGCCAUACUUAUGGCCAGGCUAACAUCCGGUCUAGUGCACAUCAUUGCAUACAUGAUAGAACCUAUGGCUGAAGCAUAGGGGACGGUGCUCAUAUGCUCUCUAUCUUUAUCAGUUGCUGGGCACUGAGUCUUACUCAAUCUCGUACCUUGUAAAACUGGCAAGAAUCCCUUCUUGGACUGUUCCACUCUGAACCUCUUCAAAACUUUAUCAAGGUAUGUACUUUGUGAAAGUCCUAUCAGGCAUUUCGAUCUAUCCCUAUAGAUCUUAAUGCCUAGAAUGUAAGCACCUUCUCCUAGGUCCUUCAUAGAGAAACUUUUAUUCAAGUAAUCCUUUAUGCUCUCCAAAAACUCCACGUUGUUUUCAAUCAGCAAUAUAUCAUCCACAUAUAAUAUUAGAAAUGCCACAGAGCUCCCACUCACUUUCUUGUAAAUACAAGAUUCUCUAACCACUUGUAUAAACCCAAAUGCUUUGAUCACCUCAUCAAAGCGUUUAUUCCAACUCCGAGAUGCUUGCACCAGUCCAUAAAUGGAUCGCUAGAGCUUGCACACUUUGUUAGCAUUUUUAGGAUCAAUAAAACCUUCGGGUUGCAUCAUAUACAACUCUUCCUUAAGGAAACCGUUAAGGAACGCCGUUUUGACAUCCAUCUGCCAGAUUUCAUAAUCGAAAAAUGCAGCUAUUGCUAACAUGAUUCUGACGGACUUAAGCAUCGCUACGGGUGAGAAUGUCUCAUCGUAGUCAACUCCUUGAACUUGUGAAAAACCCUUUGCCACAAGUCGAGCUUUAUAAACGGUCAUAUUACCGUCAGCGUCCGUCUUUUUCUUAAAGAUCCAUUUGUUCUGAAUAGCCUUGCAGCCUUCAGGUAGUACUUCCAAAGUCCAUACUUUUUUUCAUACAUAGAUCCUAUCUCGGACUUCAUGGCCUCCAGCCAUUUGUUGGAAUCCGGGCCCACCAUUGCUUCUUCAUAAUUCGCAGGCUCAUUGUUGUCUAACAACAUAAUUGAUAAGACGGGAUUACCGUACCACUCCGGAGUAGUACGCGGUCUCGUCGACCUGCGAGGUUCGACAGGAACUUGAUCCGGAGUUUCAUGAUCAUCAUCAUUAACUUCCUCCUCAACCGGCGUCGCAACGACAGGGGUUUCCCCUUGCUCUGCGCCGCCAUCCAUAGGGAUGAGAGGUUCGACAACCUCAUCAAGUUCUAUCUUCCUCCCACUCAAUUCUCUCGAGAGAAACUCCUUCUCGAGAAAAGCUCCGUUCUUAGCAACAAACACUUUGCCCUCGGAUUUGAGAUAGAAGGUAUACCCAACUAUCUCUUUCGGGUAACCUAUGAAGAUGCACUUUUCCGCUUUGGGUUCCAGCUUUUCAGGCUGAAGCUUUUUGACAUAAGCAUCACAUCCCCAAACUUUAAGAAACAACAACUUUGGUCUUUUGCCAUACCACAGUUCGUAUGGUGUCGUCUCAACGGAUUUUGAUGGUGCCCUACUUAAAGUGAAUGCAGUUGUCUCUAAUGCAUAACCCCAAAACGAUAACGGCAAAUCGGUAAGAGACAUCAUAGAUCGCACCAUCUCUAAUAAAGUACGAUUACGACGUUCGGACACACCAUUACGCUGUGGUGUUCCAGGCGGUGUCAACUGUGAAACAAUUCCACAUUGUCUUAAGUGAACACCAAACUCGAAACUCAGAUAUUCACCCCCACGAUCAGACCGCAGGAACUUGAUCUUCUUGGCACGAUGAUUUUCAACUUCACUCUGAAAUUGCUUGAACUUUUCAAACAUUUCAGACUUGUGCUUCAUCAAGUAGACAUAGCCAUAUCUACUCAAAUCGUCAGUGAAGGUGAGAAAAUAACGAUAUUCGCCGCGUGCCUCCACGCUCAUCGGACCACACACAUCGGUAUGUAUGAUUUCCAACAAGUCACUUGCACGCUCCAUUGUUCCGGAGAACGGAGUUUUAGUCAUCUUGCCCAUGAGGCAUGGUUCGCACGUGUCUAGUGAAUCAAAGUCAAGUGACUCCAAAAGUCCAUCGGUAUGGAGUUUAUUCAUGCGCUUUACACCAAUAUGACCUAAGCGGCAGUGCCACAAAAAUAUGGCGCUAUCAUUGUUAACUCUAACUCUUUUGGUCUCAAUGUUAUGUGUAUGUGUAUUAUCACUAUCAAUAUUUAAUAUGAACAAUCCUCUCACAUUGGGUGCAUGACCAUAAAAGAUAUUACUCAUAGAAAUAGAACAAUCAUUAUUCUCUGACUUAAACGAGUAACCGUCUCGCAAUAAACAAGAUCCAGAUAUAAUGUUCAUGCUCAACGCAGGCACUAAAUAACAAUUAUUUAAGUUCAUAACUAAUCCUGAUGGUAACUGAAGUGAAACUGUGCCGACGGCGAUUGCAUCAACCUUGGAACCAUUUCCCACGCGCAUCGUCACUUGAUCUUUCGCCAACCUUCGCCUAUUCCGCAGUUCUUGUUUCGAGUUGCAAAUAUGAGCAAGAGAACCGGUAUCGAAUACCCAUGCACUACUACGAGAGCUGGUUAAGUACACAUCGAUAACAUGUAUAUCAAAUAUACCUGGUUUUUCUUUGGCCGCCUUAUUAUUAGCCAGAUACUUGGGGCAGUUGCGCUUCCACUGACCCAUACCCUUGCAAUAAUAGCACUCCAUUUCAGGCUUAGGUCCAGCUUUGGGUUUCUUCGUCGGAUUGGCAACAGGUUUGCCGCUCUUCUUUGAACUACCCUUCUUUCCUUUGUCGUUUCUCUUGAAACUAGUGGUCUUAUUCACCAUCAACACUUGAUGUUCUUUACGGAGUUCUGACUCUGCGACUUUCAACAUCGCGAACAACUCGCCGGGUGACUUGUUCAUACCUUGCAUGUUGUAGUUCAACACAAAGCCCUUAUAGCUUGGUGGCAGUGAUUGAAGAAUUCUGUCAGUGAUAGCCUCUUGCGGGAGUUCAGUCCCCAGCUCAGCUAGACGGUUUGAGUACCCAGACAUUUUGAGCGCGUGUUCACUGAUAGACGAAUUCUCCUCCAUUUUGCAAGCAUAGAAUUUAUCGAAGGUCUCAUACCUCUCGAUCCGGGCGUUCUUCUGAAAGAUAAACUUCAACUCCUGGAACAUCUCAUAUGCUCCAUGACGCUCAAAGCGACGUUGAAGUCCCGGCUCUAAGCCAUACAAGACCGCACAUUGAACUACUGAGUAGUCCUCCUUACGUGUUAACCAAGCGUUCUUAACAUCUUGGUCAGCCGUAGCGGAUGGUUCAUCUCCUAGCACAGCAUCAAGGACAUAAUCCUUCUUCCCAGCUUGUAGGAGCAACUUAAGAUUACGAGCCCAGUCUACAAAGUUGCUUCCAUCAUCUUUCAACUUAGCUUUCUCUAGGAACGUAUUAAAAUUCAAGGUGACUGUCACGUGAGCCAUGAUCUACAACACAAAUAUAUUCAAAGUGGACUUAGACUAUGUUCAAUAUAAUUAGAGUUUAACUUAAUCAAAUUAAUUGCUAAACUCCCACUCAAAAACUACAUCUCUCUAGUCAUUUGAGUGGUUCAUGAUCCAAUUCCACUAGCUCAAGUCCGAUCAUCACGUGAGUUCAGGAUAGUUUCAGUGGUAAGCAUCCCUAUGCCAAUCAUAUCAACUAUAUGAUUCAUGAUCGACCUUUCGGUCUCUUGUGUUCCGAGGCCAUGUCUGUACAUGCUAGGCUCGUCAAGCUUAACCCGAGUGUUCCGCGUGUGCAACUGUUUUGCACCCGUUGUAUGUGAACGUUGAGUCUAUCACACCCGAUCAUCACGUGGUGUCUCGAAACGACAAACUGUAGCAACGGUGCACAGUAGGGAGAACACAAUUUCAUCUUGAAAUUUUAGUGAGAGAUCACCUCAUAAUGCUACCGUCGUUCUAAGCAAAAUAAGGUGCAUAAAAGGAUUAACAACACAUGCAAUCCAUAAGUGACAUGAUAUGGCCAUCAUCACGUGCUUAUUGAUCUCCAUCACCAAAGCACCGACACGAUCUUCUGUCACCGGCGCCACACCAUGAUCUCCAUCAAUGUGUCGCCAUCGGGGUUGUCGUGCUACUCAUGCUAUUACUACUAAAGCUACAUCCUAGCAAUAUAGUAAACGCAUCUGCAAGCACAAACGUUAGUUUAAAGACAACCCUAUGGCUCCUGUCGGUUGCCGUACCAUCGACGUGCAAGUCGAUAUUAACUAUUACAACAUGAUCAUCUCAUACAUCCAGUAUAUCACAUCACAUCGUUGGCCAUAUCACAUCACAAGCAUACCCUGCAAAAACAAGUUAGACGUCCUCUAAUUGUUGCUGCAUGUUUUACGUGGUGACCAUGGGUAUCUAGUAGGAUCGCAUCUUACUUACGUAAACACCACAACGGAGAUAUAUGAAUUGCUAUUUAACCUCAUCCAAGGACCUCCUCGGUCAAAUCCGAUUCAACUAAAGUUGGAGAAACUGACACUUGCCAGUCAUCUUUGAGCAACAGAGUUACUCGUAGCGAUGAAAGCAGUCUCUCGUAAGCGUACGAGUAAUGUCGGUCCGAGCCGCUUCGAUCCAACAAUACCGCGGAAUCAAGAAAAGACUAAGGAGGGCAGCAAAUCGCACAUCACCGCCCACAAAAACGUUUGUGUUCUACUCGAGAAGACAUCUAUGCAUGAACCUAGCUCAUGAUGCCACUUUUUGGGGAACAUCGCAUGGGAAACAAAAAAAUUCCCACGCGCACGAAAACCUAUCAUGGUGAUGUUCAUCUACGAGGGGGAUUUCACAUCCACGUACCCUUGUAGAUCGCAUAGCAGAAGCGUUAAUAAACGCGGUUGAUGUAGUGGAACGUCCUCACUUCCCUCGAUCCGCCCCGCGAACCCUCCCAUGAACCGUCCCGCGAUCCGUCCCACGAUCCGCUCCGAUCUAGUGCCGAACGGACGGCACCUCCGCGUUCAGCACACGCACAGCUCGACGAUGAUCUCGGCCUUCUUGAUCCAGCAAGAGAGACGGAGAGGUAGAUGAGUUCUCCGGCAGCGUGACGGCGCUCCAGAGGUUGGUGGUGAUCUAAUCUCAGCAGGGCUCCGCCCGAGCUCCGCAGAAACGCGAUCUAGAGGAAAAACCGUGGAGGUAUGUGGUCGGGCAGCCGUGGAAAAGUUGUCUCAAAUCAGCCCUAAACCCUCCGUAUAUAUAGGGGGGAGGGGAGGGGCCUUGCCUUGGGGCUCAAGGAGCCCCAAGGGGUUCGGCCGAUGGGGGGAGGAGGAGUCCUCCUCCAAUCCUAGUCCAACUAGGAUUGGAAGGUGGAGUCCUUCCCACUUCCCCUUUUUUUCUCCUUUGAUUUUCUAUGUCCCUGCGCAUGGGCCUCUGUGGGCUUGUCCACCAGCCCACUAAGGCUGGUGCGGCACCCCUAAGGCCUAUGGGCUUCCCCGGGGUGGGCUGCCCCCCCCCCCGGUGAACAUCCGGAACCCAUUCGUCAUUCCCGGUACAUUCCCGGUAAUUCCGAAAACCUUCCGGUGAUCAAAUGAGGUCAUCCUAUAUAUCAAUCUUUGUCUCCGGACCAUUCCGGAAACCCCCGUGACGUCCGUGAUCUCAUAUGGGACUCCGAACAACAUUCGGUAACCAACCAUAUAACUCAAAUACGCAUAAACACAACGUCGAACCUUAAGUGUGCAGACCGUGCGGGGUCAAGAACUAUGUAGACAUGACCCGAGGGACUCCUCGGUCAAUAUCCAAUAGCGGGACCUGGAUGCCCAUAUUGGAUCCUACAUAUUCUAUGAAGAUCUUAUCGUUUGAACCUCAGUGCCAAGGAUUCAUAUAAUCCCGUAUGUCAUUCCCUUUGUCCUUCGGUAUGUUACUUGCCCGAGAUUCGAUCGUCAGUAUCCGCAUACCUAUUUCAAUCUCGUUUACCGGCAAGUCUCUUUACUCGUUCCGUAAUACAAGAUCCUGCAACUUACACUAAGUCACAUUGCUUGCAAGGCUUGUGUGUGAUGUUGUACUACCGAGUGGGCCCCGAGAUACCUCUCCGUCACACGGAGUGACAAAUCCCAGUCUUGAUCCAUACUAACUCAACGGACACCUUCGGAGAUACCUAUAGAGCAUCUUUAUAGCCACCCAGUUACGUUGUGACGUUUGCUACACACAAAGUAUUCCUCCGGUGUCAGUGAGUUAUAUGAUCUCAUGGUCAUAGGAAUAAAUACUUGACACGCAGAAAACAGUAGCAACAAAAUGACACGAUCAACAUCUACGUCUAUUAGUUUGGGUCUAGUCCAUCACAUGAUUCUCCUAAUGAUGUGAUCCAGUUAUCAAGCAACAACACCUUGUACAUAGUCAGAAGACCGUGACUAUCCUUGAUCAACUAGCUAGCCAACUAGAGGCUUGCUAGGGACAGUGUUUUGUCUAUGUAUCCACACAUGUAUCUAAGUCUUCAUUCAAUACAAUUAUAGCAUGGAUAAUAAACGAUUAUCUUGAUACCGGAAUUAUAAUAAUAACUUAUUUAUCAUUGCCUCUAGGGCAUAAUUCCAACAUGCCCCAUAGUGGCCCUGGUUUGCUUGAGAAAUAUCUUCCACAACUUGUUUGGAGUCCGAUGAGAUAGUGAAAUGCUGUAGAAGCAGAUCCUCUGCCUGGGCCAAAGCUUCCGUGCAUGCUAAAGCUUCUAAUGUAGCAGGAUCCGUGACUCCCGCAACCACCAAAGAAGAGCUGCCAAGGUAGUUCCCCCAUUCGUCCCUACAAACUGCAGCUGUCGAUCCGCCCCUUGAUCGUAGUACUCCUCCAUCAACAUGGAUUUUUGCAUGCGGUGCUGGUGGCGUUAUGCAUCUCUUCUGCAAUACAGGUACCCCAACAUGUCUCUGUGUUUGUGUAGUAGGUCGAUCGGUAGGGUUCAGCAGGUCUAGCUCGAGAAUGAAUCUAGAGAUAAAAGCAUUGGUCGCAUGCGGGCUCUGAAACAACCCCUCGUGUAUGGCUUUCCUUCUCGAAUACCAGACAAACCAUAACGUCAGUGCCACCCGGAUGAAUUCCACAUGUGAAAAUGAGUCCAUCAUUGUGAAAAUCCAUUGCUUUGGGUUUGGCUCCGUGUUUGCUAUCAUUCUGUCCACCAGCUCGCCUUGAUCAAGGGCCCAUACACACCUGGACAUCGAGCACUCAAUAAGUGAAUGCCGCCAUGAAUCUUGUGCUCCACAGAGACUGCAAGUAGGGGAAGUCGACAUGUCGCGAUGAGCUCUGACGUCUUCAGUGGGAAGCGAGACCUUUGACAGCCGCCACAAGAACAUACGAAUUUUAGCAGGUACCUUUGUAUUCCACACGGUCUUCCAGGAUUGUGCUUCGUUACUUGAUGGACUUGGGUCCCCAUUCAGCCAUGCCUCUCUGCGUUUACGGGUGGCUACGAUCAUUCUGUAAGCUGAUCGGACAGUAAAGAUGCCUUUCCUCUCGAAUUUCCAUGCCCAGUAGUCGUCGAUGUUUUGGGUGCACAGGGGGAUCGACAAGAUCGCUGGGAUAUCGAUCGGGAGGAAAACUUCCGCAAUAUUCUGUCUAUCCUAUGUGGCCGAAGUGGCAUCAAUGAAAUCAAAUGCUCUAAGUGGAGGGUUUUGCACUCUACUCCCGUAUGGACGCAUCAUCUCAUCCCUAGGGAUCCAAUUAUCUGUCCAGACAUCCAUAGACCUCCCGUUCCCAAUGCGCCUGAUUAAACCUUGUUUAAGCACCUCCAAUCCCUCCAUAAUUGCCCUCCAUAUUUGGCUUGGAUGGUUACCCAAUCUUGCUUGCAGAAACGACGUAGUUGGGAAGUAAACACUUUUGAGUAUUCUGGCGCUUAGGGAAUUAGGUUGUUGCAGAUUCCGCCAUCCUUGCUUAGGUAGCAUAGGCAAGUUGAACAGCUCGAUGUCCUUAAAAUCUAGUCCCCCCAUUGAUUUGGGUUGUGUCAUCUCCUGCCACGAAACCCAACUUGGCUUUCGGCUUCCCUCUUUGCUGCCCCACCAGAAUUUCCUGAUCAACAUGUUCAGGUGCUCACAUAAACCUCUAGGUAACUUAAAACAAGACAUAAAGAAGACGGGGAUAGCUUGUGCCACCGCUUUGACAAGAACUUCCUUUCCUGAUGUAGAUAGGGUUUUUUCAAUCCAUCCUUGGAUCUUACUCUACAAUCUAUCUUUAAGGAAUUUGAAAGCUCCAUUCUUUAAAGAUCCCACAUCAGAUGGCAUGCCGAGAUACUUCUCAUUAAGUGUUUCAUUUGGUACUUGCAAAACAUCCUUGAUUUCAGUCCUAACUGACUCGGGUACCCCUUUACUGAAGAAGAUCGACGAUUUGCCAUAGUUUAUGCGCUGCCCCGUGGCUUCACACUAUAUAUUCAACACUUGGUUGACCUCAUUUGCACCCAUAGCGUUGGCCUUGAAAAACAGCAAGCUGUCAUCAGCGAAUAACAAGUGAUUAACAGUAGGUGCCAAGGCAGCUACACGUAGACCACUUAAGUUGGAUGACUCGUUCUGGGAUUUUAGGAGGAACGAUAGGCCCUCUGCUGCUAACAAGAACAAGUAUGGGGAAAUUGGGUCCCCUUGGCGGAUCCCUCGUGAAGGGGUAAAUUGCUGAAGCUUCUUGCCAUUGAACAUGACCGAGAAUUUUACAGAAGUGACCAGGCCCAUGACGAUAUCCACCCAACGUUUUGUGAAGCCUAAUUUCAGCAUAAUUCCUCUCAAGUAUGUCCAUUCCACUCGAUCGUAAGCCUUCAUCAUGUCUAGCUUCAGAGCACAGUGUUGAUUCUUCUUUGCCUUGUUUCUCUUCAUAAAGUGGAGACAUUCGUACGCCACAAUUAUGUUGUCAGUGAUCAACCUACCUGUCACAAAAGCAGAUUGCUCGGGAGAGAUGAUUUCUGGUAAGAUCUCUUUCAGCCGGUUGGAAAUAACCUUUGAAGCAAUUUUAUACAUCACAUUGCAGAGACUGAUAGGGCGAAAUUGAGAUAGCUGGGUAGGGUUUGUCACCUUUGGGAUCAGCACAAGGAUAGUCUCAUUGAUGCUUUCCGCUGACUGCUAGGGCGAAAUUGAGAUAGCUGGGUAGGGGUUGUUUUUGAUUCUCUUCUCCUCAUGCUUCGACGACCGUACAAAACCACAGUUGCACGAGCGAGCGAACGGUCACGCGAGGCGAGUGAUGCGCUCGCCAUAUGGGCCAGCCCACUUGGCGUUCCAGCGGGCGCCGGUCGGCUUCCGCGGAGCCGAACGCGCUAAAUAGGAGCUCCCGAAGCCCAGCCCCAGGCUUCACAUCGUUUCACACACACGUACAAGGCUUCAACCCGUUAGCCCACCUCCAGAUCGAUCAGAUCAUCUAAACGGAAAACCAUUCGUGCCCUACAGGUUGACGCUUCCAUGAUUCCAUUUGUUGAUCGGCAACAGGGAAACCUUUGCCUCGCUCGCUCGAACGGAGCCCUUGUGCCGCCGCCCUCGUUAGUCGCCGGCUCGUCGCCCUUCACUGUACGACUCACCGUCGUGCGGGUCCUAACCACCCGCCUCUCCUUCUUCCGAUCUUCUCUAACUAUUGAAAUUACAGGGCACACACACUCCACGACACAGGUAAUUUGGUAAUAUGUACACUGCAUCAUCCAAUUAUUUUUCUACUUCCUUUAUACUCCCUCCGUCCUAAAAUAAGUGUCUCAACUUUAUACUAGCUCUAUAUAAAUUGUACUAAGCUUGAGACAGUUAUUUUGAGACGAAGGGAGUAUUAAACAAACUUAGUGAACUGUUGCUAUUAAAUUAUACUCUCUCUGUCUCAACAUAAAUGCUUUAAGCUUAAUACAACAUUGUAUAAAAAAUAGUACAAAGUUAAGACAUUUAUUUUAGGACAAAGGAAAUAUUACUUACUCAGUUUUAUUUCAUUGUCAUUAGGAGAUUAGGAAUCCAAGAUGAAGUGAACACAUACAAUUGAAUCUUGAUGUAUCUCGCCGAAUAAGUAGGAGCCGGAGCUACUGAUGCAACAUGAGAAAACGCAAGGGGCUACUACCUCGUGAACUUAGUGUUAAUGGUAUAAUAUGUUCUUUAUUUUACAAAAUUUCAUAUGAACAAUUGAUUUAGUCUAUGUUCAGUGUCUUGAUUUUAAAUACUUCACUUUAUGUCUUGGUUUUAUAUAUGCUUCUAGUACCCUAAGCAAAGAACGAAUACGUGUUCGUGCAUAUUUAUAUUUAGUCAGUUAGUUUUAGCCCUAGGCUUUGAGAAAUCCUCGUUCCGCCUCUCGAUAAUCACAUUGAUAGAAAGAACGGUCAUUGCCUGUUCUACGCCGAUUACUCUAAGAACAAUGCUCUCUUCAAACCCCAUCUUUUCCGGCGCUGCUUAUGGAUGAUGAGGCAAUUGUUCAAUCGAAUCUGGGAGGGAGUGGCAACGUAUGAUAAUUACUUUGAGUGCAAGAAGGAUGCCCUUGGAAAGGUUGGCUUCUUCUCUUAUCAGAAAUGCAGUGUAGCCAUUCAUAUGCUUGCAUAGGGAGUUUCCAUGAACUUGUGGAUGAGUAUGUCCGCAUCAGUGAGUCCACGUGUCUCACAUCAAUAUACAUGUUCUGCAAGGCCAUGGUGGCAGUGUUUUGCCCUGAGUACCCGAGAGAGCCAAAUGCCGCAAAUACAACCCGGUUGUUGGUGAUCAAUGCUGAUAGAAGCUUUCCGAGAAUGCUUGUUAGCAUAAAUUGUAUGCACAGAAGUGGAAGAACUGUCCAUUUGCUUGACAGUGGCAGUAUAAGGAGCAUCUGAAUGGUGCCACUUGCAUACUAAAAGUAAUGGUUUCACAAAAUCUUUUAGAUUUGUCACUCUUUUUUCAGCAUGGCUGGUUCUCGUAAUGACAUCGACAUGCUCCAGCGUUCUUUCGGUGUUCGCUAGGCUUGUAGAAGCCCACUUCCCACGGGUCAACUUUCAUAUAAUUGGCCACAAACACAAAAAGAGAUACUAUCUAGUUGAUGAAAUCUACCUUUGUGGUCAACUCUAGUGAAAACAAUAUCACAUCGAGAAAUAGAUAAGAAGCAAAGAUUUACCCAACAACAAGAGAGUCCUAAGAAGGAGGUGGAGCGUGUUUUUUGUGUGCUUUAGUCUCGAUGGGCUAUCGUUCGACACCCUGCGCUAACAUGAAGCACCGAGAAGCUUUAGGAGGUGAUGAUUGCUUGUGUGAUCAUGCGCAACAUGAUCGUGGAGAAUGCACGUGAUGACAAUGCGUAUGACCAUGAGUUUGAAUAUCACGGCGAAAAUGUUGUGCGUGAGCACCAAGAACGAGCAACAUUUGCACAGUUUACCCAAUUUAAUUAUGAAAUGCGUGAUUAGCACACUCAUAUGCCAAUCCAAAUGAUUUUGCUGAACACAUGUGGAUGUUGGGGUAACGUAGCAUAAAUUCAAAAUUUUCCUACGCAUGUUCAGAUCUUCCUAUGGAGAGACCAGCAACGAGAGAGGGGUAAGAGCAUCUUCGUACCUUUGAAGAUCGCUAAGCGGAAGCGUUGCUAGAACGCGGUUGAUGGAGUCGUACUCGCAGCGAUUCCGAUCUAGUGCCGAACAACGGCACCUCCUCGUUCAACACACGUGCAGCCCGGUGACGUCUCCCGCACCUUGAUCCAGCAAGGAGGAGGGAGAGGUUGGGGAAGAAGUCCAGCAACACGACGGCGUGGUGUCGGUGGAGAGACGAGGUCUCCUGGCAGGGCUUCGCCAAGCGCCGGCAGAGAGGAGGAGGGAGAGGAGCAGGGCUGCGCCGAGAGAGAGAUCAAACCGUGUCUCAAACAGCCCCGAGUCCUCAUCUAUAUAUAGGGGAAGAGGGAGGGGGCGCAGCCCUUAGGGUUCCCACCCCCAAGGGGUGCGGCAGCCCCAGAUGGGAGAGGGGGCGGCGGCCAGGGCAGGGAGGAGGGGUGGCGCACCCCUCUCGUGGGCCUUAGGCCCACCUAUGCUAGGGUUCCCCCCUUUCCCCCUUUCUCUGGUGCGCGUGGGCUGGGUGGGGGGCGCACCAGCCCACCUAGGGGCUGGUUCCCUUCCCCACUUAGCCCAUCUAGCCUCCCGGGGUCGUUGCCCCCUUCGGUGGUCCUCCGGGACCACCUCCGAUGGUCCUCCGGGACCACCUCCGAUGGUCCCGGUGGUCCCGGUACGUUACCGGUGACGCCCGAAACACUUCCGGUGUCCAAAACCAUCCGUCCUAUAUAUCAAUCUUUACCUCCGGACCAUUCCGGAGCUCCUCGUGACGUCCNCGCACCAGCCCACCUAGGGGCUGGUUCCCUUCCCCACUUAGCCCAUCUAGCCUCCCGGGGUCGUUGCCCCCUUCGGUGGUCCUCCGGGACCACCUCCGAUGGUCCUCCGGGACCACCUCCGAUGGUCCCGGUGGUCCCGGUACGUUACCGGUGACGCCCGAAACACUUCCGGUGUCCAAAACCAUCCGUCCUAUAUAUCAAUCUUUACCUCCGGACCAUUCCGGAGCUCCUCGUGACGUCCGGCAUCUCAUCCGGGACUCCGAACAACUUUCGGUAACCUCGUACAACAAUUCCCUAUAACCCUAGUGUCAUCUAACCUUAAGUGUGUAGACCCUACGGGUUCGGGAGACAUGCAGACAUGACCGAGACACCUCUCUGGCCAAUAACCAUCAGCGGGGUCUGGAUACCCAUGGUGGCUCCAACUAGCUCCACGAUGAUCUCAUCGGAUGAACCACGAUGUCAAGGAUUCAAUCAAUCCCGUAUACGAUUCCCUUUGUCUGUCGGUAUAGAACUUGCCCGAGAUUCGAUCGUCGGUAUACCUAUACCUUGUUCAAUCUCGUUACCGGUAAGUCUCUUUACUCGUUUCGUAGCACGUCAUCGUGUGACUAACUCCUUAGUCACAUUGAGCUCAUGAUGAUGUUCUACCGAGUGGGCCCAAAGAUACCUCUCCGUCACACGGAGUGACAAAUCCCGAUCUCGAUUUGUGCCAACCCAACAGACACUUUCGGAGGUACCCGUAGUGCACCUUUAUAGUCACCCAGUUACGUUGUGACGUUUGAUACACCCAAAGCACUCCUACUAUAUCCGGGAGUUGCACAAUCUCACGGUCGAAGGAAAAGAUACUUGACAUUAGAAAAUCUUUAGCAUACGAACAAUACGAUCUAGUGCUAGGCUUAGGUUUGGGUCUUGUCCAACACAUCAUUCUCCCAAUGAUGUGAUCCCGUUAUCAAUGACAUCUAAUGCCCAUGAUCAGGAAACCAUGAUCAUCUAUUGACUAAUGAGCUAGCCAACUAGGGGCUUGCUAGGGACACAUUGUGAUCUAUUCAUUCACACAUGUAUUACUGUUUCCUGUUAAUACAAUUAUAGCAUGAACAAUAGACGAUUAUCAUGAACAGGGAAAUAUGAUAAUAACUAUUUUAUUAUUGCCUCUAGGGCAUAUUUCCAACAGUCUCCCACUUGCACUAGAGUCAAUAAUCUAGUUACAUUGUGAUGUAUCGAACACCCAUAACAUCAUGGUGUUGAUCAUGUUUUGCUCGUGGAAGAGGUUUAGUCAAUGGGUCUGCAAUAUUCAGAUCCAUGUGUACUUUACAAAUAUCUAUCACUCCACUCUGGACAUGGUCCUGGAUGGAGUUGUAGCGGCGCUUGAUGUGCUUCGUCUUCCGGUGAAACCUGGGCUCCUUGGCUAUGGCAAUGGCUCCAGUGUUAUCAUAGAAGAGUGUCAUAGGACCCGACGCGCUUGGAACCACUCCAAGGUCGGUGAUGAGCUCCUUCAUGCAAAUUCCUUCAUGAGCCGCUUCUGAAGCAGCUAUGUACUCCGCUUCACAUGUAGAUGCUGCCACGACUUCUUGGUUGCUGCUGCACCAGCUCACUGCCCCACCAUUCAACACAUAUACGUAUCCGGUCUGUGACUUAGAGUCAUCCGGAUCUGUGUCGAAGCUAGCGUCGACGUAACCCUUUACGACGAGCUCUUCGUCACCUCCAUAAACGAGAAACAUUUCCUUAGUCCUUUUCAGGUACUUAAGGAUAUUCUUGACCGCUGUCCAGUGUUCCGCACCGGGAUUACUUUGGUACCUCCCUACCAAACUUAUGGCAAGGUUUAUAUCAGGUCUGGUACACAGCAUGGCAUACAUUAGAGAGCCCACGACUGAAGUGUAGGGGACAGAACUCAUCUUCUCUCUAUCUACUGCCGUGGUCGGCGACUGAGUCUUACUCAAUCUCAUACCUUGCAAAACUGGCAAGAACCCUUUCUUUGAGUUUUCCAUAUUGAACUUCUUCAAUAUCUUGUCAAGGUAUGUACUUUGCGAAAGACCUAUGAGGCGUCUCGAUCUAUCUCUAUAGAUCUUGAUGCCUAAUAUGUAUGCAGCUUCUCCAAGGUCCUUCAUUGAAAAACUCUUGUUCAAAUAGGCCUUUAUGAUCUCCAACAUCUCUAUAUUAUUCCCCAUCAAUAAUAUGUCAUCCACAUAUAGUAUGAGGAAAGCUACAGAGCUCCCACUCACUUUCUUGUACAGACAGGCUUCUCCGUAAACCUGUAUGAACCCAAACGCUUUAAUCACCUCAUUAAAGCGAAUGUUCCAACUCCGAGAUGCUUGCACCAGUCCAUAGAUGGAGCGUUGGAGCUUGCACACUUUGUUAGCACCCUUAGGGUCGACAAAACCUUCUGGUUGCAUCAUAUACAACUCUUCCUUAAGGUUACCGUUAAGGAACGCUGUUUUGACGUCCAUUUGCCAAAUUUCAUAAUCAUAAAAGGCGGCAAUUGCUAACAUGAUUCGGACUGAUUUCAGCUUCGCUACGGGAGAGAAAGUCUCUUCGUAGUCAACUCCUUGAAUUUGUCGAAAACCCUUUGCGACAAGUCGAGCUUUGUAAACGGUUACAUUACCGUUUGCAUCAGUCUUCUUCUUGAAGAUCCAUUUAUUUUCUAUGGCUCGCCGGUCAUCGGGCAAGUCCACCAAAGUCCAUACUUUGUUCUCAUACAUGGAUCCUAUCUCGGAUUUCAUGGCCUCAAGCCAUUUGUUGGAAUCCGGGCCCGCCAUCGCUUCUUCAUAGUUCGAAGGUUCACCGUUGUCUAACAACAUGAUUUCCAUCACAGGGUUGCCGUACCACUCUGGUGCGGAGCGUACCCUUGUGGACCUUCGCGGUUCAGUAGUAACUUGAUCCGAAGCUUCAUGAUCAUCAUCAUUAACUUCCUCUUCAGUCGGUGUAGGCACCACAGGAACAACUUCUUGCGCUGCGCUACUUUCCUGUUCGAGAGGGGGUGUAAUUACCUCAUCAAGUUCUACCUUCCUCCCACUUACUUCUUUCGAGAGAAACUCUUUCUCUAGAAAGGAUCCGUUCUUGGCAACAAAGGUUUUACCUUCGGAUCUAAGAUAGAAGGUAUACCCAAUAGUUUCCUUAGGGUAUCCUAUGAAUACGCAUUUCUCCGCUUUGGGUUCGAACUUUUCUGGUUGAAGUUUCUUCACAUAAGCAUCGCAGCCCCAAACUUUAAGAAACGACAACUUAGGUUUCUUGCCAAACCAUAGUUCAUACGGUGUCGUCUCAACGGAUUUAGACGGUGCCCUAUUUAAAGUGAAUGCUGCACUUUCUAAUGCGUAUCCCCAAAAUGAUAGCGGUAAGUCGGUGAGAGACAUCAUAGAUCGUACCAUAUCUAAUAAAGUGCGAUUACGACAUUCAGACACUCCGUUGCGCUGCGGUGUGCCAGGCGGCGUCAGUUGUGAAAUGAUUCCACACUUCCUUAGGUGUGUGCCAAACCCGUGACUCAAAUAUUCUCCUCCACGAUCAGAUCGUAGACAUUUAAUUUUUCUGUCACGUUGAUUCUCAACCUCACUCUAAAAUUCCUUGAACUUUUCAAACGUCUCAGAUUUGUGCUUCAUCAAGUAGAUAUACCCAUACCUACUCAAAUCAUCGGUGAGAGUGAGAACAUAAUGAUAACCACCGCGAGCUUCGACGUUCAUUGGACCACACACAUCAGUAUGUAUUAUUUCCAAUAAGUCGGUUGCUCUCUCCAUUAUUCCUGAGAAUGGAGUCUUAGUCAUCUUGCCCAUGAGGCAUGGUUCGCAUGUGUCAAAUGAUUCAAAGUCAAGAGACUCUAAUAGUCCAUCAGUAUGGAGCUUCUUCAUGCGCUUAACGCCGAUAUGACCAAGGCGGCAGUGCCACAAGUACGUGGGACUAUCAUUAUCAACUUUGCAUCUUUUGGUACUCACACUAUGAAUAUGUGUAACAUCACGAUCGAGAUUCAUCAAGAAUAAACCAUUCACCAGUGGGGCAUGACCAUAAAACAUAUCACUCAUAUAAAUAGAACAACCAUUAUUCUCUGACUUAAAUGAGUAGCCGUCUCGCAUCAAGCAAGACCUUGAUACAAUGUUCAUGCUUAAAACUGGUACUAAAUAACAAUUAUUAAGGUUUAAAACUAAUCCCGACGGUAGAUGUAGAGGUAGCGUGCCGACGGCGAUCACAUCGACCUUUGAACCAUUCCCGACGCGCAUCGUCACCUCGUCCUUGGCCAGUCUCCGCUUAUUCCGCAGUUCCUGCUUUGAGUUGCAAAUGUGAGCAAUAGCACCGGUAUCAAAUACCGAGGAGCUACUACGAGCGCUGGUAAGGUACACAUCAAUAACAUGUAUAUCACAUAUACCUUUAACGUUGCCGGCCUUCUUGUCCGCUAAGUAUUUGGGGCGGUUCCGCUUCCAGUUACCUUUUCCCUUGCAAUAGAAGCACUCAGUCUCAGGCUUGGGUCCGUUCUUUUUCUUCUUCUCGGCAUCUGGCUUACCGGGCGCGGCAACAACUUUGCCGUCUUUCUUGAAGUUCUUCUUACCCCUGCCUUUCUUGAAACUAGUGGUCUUGUUGACCAUCAACACUUGAUGCUCCUUCUUGAUUUCUACUUCUGCAGACUUGAGCAUCGAGUACAACUCGAGAAUGGUCUUCUCCAUCCCUUGCAUGUUGUAGUUAAGCACAAAGCCUUUGUAGCUUGGUGGGAGAGACUGGAGGAUUCUGUCAAUGAUAGCAUCAUCCGGAAGUUCGACUCCAAGUGAAGUCAGACGACCGUGUAACCCAGACAUUUUGAGUAUGUGCUCACUGACAGAACUGUUCUCCUCCAUCUUACAGCUGAAGAACUUGUCGGAGACUUCAUAUCUCUCGACACGGGCAUGAGCUUGAAAAACUAGCUUCAGCUCCUGGAACAUCUCAUAUGCCCCGUGUUGCUCAAAACGCCUUUGGAGCCCCGUUUCUAAACUGUAUAACAUGCCACACCUGACCAGAGAGUAGUCAUCACUUCGCGCUUGCCAGACGUUCAAAAUGUCCUGGGCUGCUGCGGGAGCGGGAGGGUCACCUAGCGGCGCAUUAAGGACAUAAGCCUUUUUAGCUGCUUCAAGGAUGAGCUUCAGGUUGCGAACCCAGUCCGCAUAGUUGCUACCAUCAUCUUUCAGCUUGUUUUUCUCUAGGAAUGCGUUGAAGUUGAGGUUGACGUUGGACAUCUACAAUAUUUAUAAAGACAAUUUUUAGACUAAGUUCAUGACAAUUAAGUUCAUUUAAUCAAAUUAAGUAUGAACUCCCACUUAAAUCGACAUCCCUCUAGUCAUCUAAGUGAUACAUGAUCCAUGUUGACUAACCCGUGUCCGAUCAUCACGUGAGACGGACUAGUCACCAUGGUGAGCAACUUCAUGCUGAUCGUAUUCAACCAUACGACUCAUGUUCGACCUUUCGGUCUCUUGUAUUCGAGGUCAUGUCUGUACAUGCUAGGCUCGUCGAGUCAACCUAGGUGUUUCGCGUGUGUAAAUCUGGCUUACACCCGUUAUAUGGGAACGUUAGAAACUAUCACACCCGAUCAUCACGUGGUGCUUCGAGACAACGAACCUUCGCAACGGUGCACACUUAGGGGAAUACGUUCUCGAAAUUUUAAGAGGGAUCAUCUUAUUAUGCUACCGUCAUUUUAAGCAAUAAGAUGUAAAACAUGAUAAAACAUCACAAUGCAAUCAUAUAGUGACAUGAUAUGGCCAUUAUCAUCUUUGCUCUUUCAAUCUCCAUCUUCAGGCAUCGCAUGAUCAUCAUCGUCACCGGCGUGACACCAUGAUCUCCAUCAUCAUGUCUCCGUGAAGUCGUCACGCCAACUACUACUAUCACCACUACUAUGGCUAACCGUUAGCAAUGAAGUAAAAGUAGCAAGCACAUGGCGUUGCAUCUCAUACAAUAAAUUAAGACAACUCCUAUGGCUCCUGCCGGUUGUCAUACUCAUCGACAUGCAAGUCGUGAAACCUAUUACAAUAACAUGAUCAUCUCAUACAUCAUACAUGCAACACCACAACUUUGGCCAUAUCACAUCACAUGUCAAACCCUGCAAAAACAAGUUAGACGUCCUCUAAUUGUUGUUGCAAGUUUUACGUGGCUGAUUUGGGUUUCUAGCAAGAACACCUUCUUACCUACGUGACAGCCACAACGAUGAUAUGCCAAAGCUAUUUACCCUUCAUAAGGACCCUUUUCAUCAAAUCCAAUCCGACUAGAGUAGGAGAGACAGACACCCGCUAGCCACCUUUAUGCACGAUGUGCAUGUCUGUCGGUGGAACCAGUCUCACGUAAGCGUACGUGUAAGGUCGGUCCGGGCCGCUUCAUCCCACAAUACCGCCGGAAAAGAAUAAGACUAGUAACGGCAAGCAAAUUGACAAACCAUCGCCCACAACUUUUUGUGUUCUACUCGUGCAUAGAAUCUACCAUAGAAAACCUGGCUCUGAUACCACUUUGGGGUAACGUAGCAUAAAUUCAAAAUUUUCCUACGCAUGUUCAGAUCUUCCUAUGGAGAGACCAGCAACGAGAGAGGGGUAAGAGCAUCUUCGUACCUUUGAAGAUCGCUAAGUGGAAGCGUUGCUAGAACGCGGUUGAUGGAGUCGUACUCGCAGCGAUUCCGAUCUAGUGCUGAACAAUGGCACCUCCGCGUUCAACACACGUGCAGCCCGGUGACGUCUCCCGCACCUUGAUCCAGCAAGGACGAGGGAGAGGUUGGGGAAGAAGUCCAGCAACACGACGGCGUGGUGUCAGUGGAGAGACGAGGUCUCCCGGCAGGGCUUCGCCAAGCGCCGGCAGAGAGGAGGAGGGAGAGGAGCAGGGCUGCGCCGAGAGAGAGAUCAAACCGUGUCUCAAACAGCCCCGAGUCCUCAUCUAUAUAUAAGGGAAGAGGGAGGGGGCGCAGCCCUUAGGGUUCCCACCCCCAAGGGGUGCGGCAGCCCCAGAUGGGAGAGGGGGCGGCGGCCAGGGCAGGGAGGAGGGGUGGCGCACCCCUCUCGUGGGCCUUAGGCCCACCUAUGCUAGGGUUCCCCCCUUUCCCCCUUUCUCUGGUGCGCGUGGGCUGGGUGGGGGCGCACCAGCCCACCUAGGGGCUGGUUCCCUUCCCCACUUAGCCCAUCUAGCCUCCCGGGGUCGUUGCCCCCUUCGGUGGUCCUCCGGGACCACCUCCGAUGGUCCUCCGGGACCACCUCCGAUGGUCCCGGUGGUCCCGGUACGUUACCGGUGACGCCCGAAACACUUCCGGUGUCCAAAACCAUCCGUCCUAUAUAUCAAUCUUUACCUCCGGACCAUUCCGGAGCUCCUCGUGACGUCCGGCAUCUCAUCCGGGACUCCGAACAACUUUCGGUAACCUCGUACAACAAUUCCCUAUAACCCUAGCGUCAUCGAACCUUAAGUGUGUAGACCCUACGGGUUCGGGAGACAUGCAGACAUGACCGAGACACCUCUCUGGCCAAUAACCAUCAGCGGGGUAUGGAUACCCAUGGUGGCUCCCACUAGCUCCACGAUGAUCUCAUCGGAUGAACCACGAUGUCAAGGAUUCAAUCAAUCCCGUAUACGAUUCCCUUUGUCUGUCGGUAUAGAACUUGCCUGAGAUUCGAUCGUCGGUAUACCGAUACCUUGUUCAAUCUCGUUACCGGUAAGUCUGUUUACUUGUUCCGUAGCACGUCAUCGUGUGACUAACUCCUUAGUCACAUUGAGCUCAUGAUGAUGUUCUACCGAGUGGUCCCAGAGAUACCUCUCCGUCACACGGAGUGACAAAUCCCGAUCUCGAUUCGUGCCAACCCAACAGACACUUUCGGAGGUACCCGUAGUGCACCUUUAUAGUCACCCAGUUACGUUGUGACGUUUGAUACACCCAAAGCACUCCUACUGUAUCCGGGAGUUGCACAAUCUCACGGUCGAAGGAAAAGAUACUUGACAUUAGAAAAGCUUUAGCAUACGAACAUUACGAUCUAGUGCUAGGCUUAGGUUUGGGUCUUGUCCAUCACAUCAUUCUCCCAAUGAUGUGAUCCCGUUAUCAAUGACAUCUAAUGCCCAUGAUCAGGAAACCAUGAUCAUCUAUUGACUAACGAGCUAGCUAACUAGAGGCUUGCUAGGGACACAUUGUGAUCUAUUCAUUCACACAUGUAUUACUGUUUCCUGUUAAUACAAUUAUAGCAUGAACAAUAGACGAUUAUCAUGAACAGGGAAAUAUGAUAAUAACUAUUUUAUUAUUGCCUCUAGGGCAUAUUUCCAACAGUGGAUGCACCUGGGCAACAAUAGAUGUAUCAGUUCAUUUUUUUAUGUAUUCGUGAUAAUUUAAAUUUCAUUGUAAACUUUGUGAUUUAUAUUCGACAUCAAAACUAUUUAUUAUGAUACUAUAAUAUUUUAUUAGGUUGUAAAAAAAUAUUAAAUAUUUGUUUAUAGUUAGAAAAUAUUUAUAUUUGGUCAUCAAUGUGUCGCGCACACCAAAUGCGUCGGUCAACACAUGGUCAACGCAUUCAAAAAAACAAGACAACAAUCUUUUUUUUAAAGUAAACAGACACAUACCGUACAAAUGACCGCUUGUUUCACAUUGACCUUAGUUUGUCCAUUGCCAUCCCUAAGGCUAACUCCAACACACGCCACACAAUGGUCCAAUCGCAUUCGUUUGGGAGAAAACGAACAAAAAAACAGGCCCAACGCACACAAGCAAACAUAAAUUUGUCCGUUUUCUAUCCGCUUUCGCCCCAUCCCCGACCCAAAUUUAGGACGCGUUUGGGCCAUUUAUUGUCUCCUCUGGCCCGCUCGCGGGGACAAGAUGCCCCCCCCCCCAAAACCUCCCGCGCUACCCCUCCCCUUCCUCUUCCAUGGCCGUGAAGAAACCCAACGAACUGACCACCGUCGCGCGGCACGCGACAUAGAAGAAGGCCCCAAAGAAGGUGUGAUCAGAGCUCAUGUCGGAAUAGCAGGCACACCUUGACCGUGAAUCGGCCAAGCGAAGGGGAUGAUGAACGGGAGUGUCGAAGAAGAAGGCAGCGGCCGACCACACUGCCGAGGUCGCAACCAUGGAGAAGGCAAUUUAAUACAAGACCGAGGUCCGCCAGAACGAGGAGAUCGUCGCCAAGGCCAUGCACGCUGCUACGGCCAACACCCUCAUGAUGCUCGGGUUGCAUCGACUAUCGUAGGUCAUUCUCUCCAUUGCCACAAUGGCCACGACGAGCAUAUGCUCGCCGGUUCCUCUCCCUCAGCACUGCCAGUCCUCGGCCUCCUCCAUAACCCCGGAGACGCCCGGGUUCUCCACAUUGCGGCUACGUGGCCACACACGAUUCUCGACUCGUCGAACGGAAGCGGGAUCGUGCUGGCAACCCCUCCACCCUGCUCGUUAUCUACCUCAACAUUACUCCAGUGGGUGGACAGUCGUCGGAUGGGAUGCCCAAGAAGCAGGUGCGGUCCAUACCUACGUCCACAUUUUUUGGCGCCCGCAAGCUGUUCGAGGGAAUGCCAGCCCCGACGGCACCGACCGAUGACCCUAAGUACACCCAAUUCAUGCAGGAAGCCAUCUUCGAGGGCAAUGGGAAGGUUUGGAAGGACAUAUGCUUCCUUGGUGGUUUUGAUAAUUGAUGACAACAUACAUUGUCUCUUGGACUAAUACCUUUACCUAGUAUAUUUCACAUAUACCCCAUAGAGACGUGUUGGCAAAGGAUUGUGAGGAGAAUUUCCAAGAACAAGAAGAUGAAGGAAAGGAAUAGGAUUGGCCAAGCUUCAAGCUUGAAAACUCUACAUUUUAUAUUUUGUGAGAAAUCACACUUGAGUCCAUAGAAAGCCAAUACUAUUAAAAGGGGAUGAGGUAUCUAUGAUGAUCUGGUUGAUCAAGGGCUUAGAGAUAGCCACCAAAAAUAUCCAUCCAAUCUCCCACAAAAUUCUCUGUCCAAAUCCUAUACAUCAAAAUCGGUGCCAUCAACUUUAUCCACUCGAUCAUACCGAUUUUCAUCCAGGAUAGAACCUAUUCCAAAACCCUAGCAAUCUUGGUACCAUGAACAUUCCUUUCGGUGCCACGGAAAUUAGUGACAACUUUCCGGUUAGCAAUUUUCAAGAAUCGGAAUUUCUAUGUUUUGGAAUCGGUCUAACCGAGAUUUGGAUAUUCCCUAGGUCACCCAUAUCGGUACCACCGAGAUUUCUAUAUCGGUCUCACCGAGAAUACAAAAUUAGCCACAUUCUGCACUAGUUGGUGCCAUCGAGUUUCACUUUGGUUUCACCAAGUUGGGCAAUAAUGUUAUAACAGUUGGAUUUUUGGAGAUGCCUGUAUAUACCCAUCCACCACCUCUCAUUUGUAGAGGAAGCACUCAGAACACACAUACACUUGCCAUAUCCAUUUUUGUGAGAGAGAGCCACCUACUCAUGUGUUGAGAUCAAUAUAUUCCAACCCUACCAUUUGAAACUUGAUAUCUAGCCUCCCUAAAUUUCAUUCCACCCAAUCAAUGUUUUCAACCCAAGCCAAAUCUGUGACGGAGUGAUUGACUGUUGAGGGGACUAUCUUUUGAAGUACAAGAGCAAGAAGUUCAUCGUACUAGCACAUCUAUUACCUUUUGGAGAGUGGUGUCUCCUAGAUUGGUUACGUGUCGCUUUGGAGCCUCCUACUUCGUGUUGUGGAGUUGAACCAAGAAGUUUGUACAUGCAAGGAGAUCGACUACUUUGUGAAGAUCUACCCCGAGUGAGGCUAAUCCUUAGUGGAUGUAAGCCAUGAUGGAAUAGACAAGGUUGCUUCUUCGUGGACGCUUCAUGUGUUGAGCCCUCCGUGGAUCAACGCAGCCGUUACCCUUCAUGGGUUGAAGUCUCCAUCAAUGUGGACGUACGAUAGCACCACCUAUCCGAAGCAUGCGAAAAAUCACCAUGUCCAUCUUUGCGUUUGAUCUUCCUAAACUCUACUCCUUGCUUUACAUGUGCAUGUCUUUACUUUCCACUGCUAUACUCUUAGACUUGCAUGUGUAGGAUGUGUAUGACUUGUUCCAAAUGCUAAAAUUAACGCACAAGUAAAAUUGGGAAAAGUCUAGGUUUUAAUUUGUCAAGUAGUCUAUUCACCACCUUCUAGACAUCCCUUCUUGUGAUACCUCUAGGUGACAGUGUCCUCGACUAGGGGGGCCGACCUAGUUGGUCUAGUCCAUGGCACAGAUUGACACCCUCUAAAAAGGAAGGACUCCAAAGGCCUUUAACCUUUGGCGAAAGCAUAGUGGAUUUCCCCGAGACCUGGCAUGCACUCCAAGUACGUUUAUCAGAAUUCAAUAUGUACUCUUAGAUGGCAACCGACCAUUUUUAACCCUACAUACCCGUGGUGCCUAUAUAAAUCAGACAUUUAUCAUCCAUAGAGACAAAUUCGUUCAUCAUCAUCACUGCUAGGGUUUAGACCACAACUUAUGAUCUCGAGGAAGAUCAACUCGGUACUUUGAUACAUCCGUAUUAUAAGAAAGAGCAGGACAUAGCGUUUUACCUCCUUCAAGGGGGCCCGAACAUGGGUAAAAACACCGUGUCCAUUGUCUCUAGUUACCCAUCGAUCCGAUCUCACAACUUGACACCCUACCCGAGGUCUAUCGAUUUGGACACUCACAUUGGUGCUUUAAUUGAGAUCUCACUGUUGGAUCACUGAGGAUUGUUGGCCCGCGUGCAGUUUGAACUCCAAUGUUGUGUGAGGCAUAAAUUACUCUUGGCGUACCAGGUUGAUGCUACACCGACAAUAUUUGUAUAUAUAUGGCGCAGACCUUUUCCGGAUGCCAACAAUGUAUUUUGUGGCCUAUUUGUCUCGGUCAACUUUUGGGACCACAUAACACCAGCGUAGCAUACAAUGGGAUGCGAGGAGUAUACAUAUUAGCGCUGACGAGGAUGAGCUUCAUCAACUUUUCAAGUGCCUUGACGACAUGAAAGUUCCUUCUGGUUAUUUGGGGCUCAUACGCAGAUAUCUUGACACAAAAAAACAAUGGUUUAGCAACAUGAAGUCUCAUGAUUGUCAUCUAAUGAUGACACAAUUACGUCCGAUAGAUCUUAAGAGGGAUAAUGGAUGAUAAUGUCCGCAAUACACUUCUUGACUUCUGAAACAUUUUCGGCGUUCUCUCUCGAAAGUCGAGUAGUGUGCGAUGCCUCACGCGACUACAAGAGGAGAUCAUCACAAUGCUCACUAUGUGAGCUUUAGAUAUAUAUCCCACCGUCAUUCUUUGAUGUUAUGGUGCAUCUCCUAGUUCAUAUUGUUUCCGAGGAUAAAGACCUUGGACCGACAUUCUUGCAUACCAUGUUCCCGUUUGAAAGGAUAAAUGGAACUGUGAAGGGUUAUGUUCGUGACACGGCUCGUCCGUAUGGAAGCAUCGUCCAGGCCUAUCUGAGCGAAGAGUGCAUAUCAUUUUUCAUUAAUUAUAUAGAUGAUGAUAAAUCUCUUGGUUUUCCCACGAGGAAGAAUGCCGAUAGGUUCGAAGGAUUAGGUCACUCAUAGUUGAAGCAUGAUUUAAAUGUGGAUAUACAAAACCGUUGAGACGACUUCGACAAAGCAUACACACUGGUGUUACAACAAGCACAUAUAAUCACUCCUUGGCAGCAGGUUCACAAGGACACCUUAAAGAGAGAGCAUGGAAUGGCACGGAGGGAGAGGACCGAACCCGAGACCAUUAGAGAGCACAACUCCUAAUUUGCAUCUUGGUUGAAAGAGCGAAUUUGGGAGAAACCACUCCCAACGGGUAUUGCAAAUGCAAAUAUCAUCUAUGCAUUAGCAGUAGGCCCCGCAUGCACUAUCGCCACCUACUAAUCAUAUGAUAUCAAUGGAUACACAUUCAAUACCGAGGAAAAAAGACAAAAAAUCUGAUUACUAGAAUUUUGGCGUCACGAUAAUUGCCUCCACCGAGAAUGAAAAUAAUAGAUACUACAGAGGGGUCGAAGAGAUAUGGGAACUUGAAUACGCUGAAGAUCACACGGUUCCAUGAGAUCACACCAAAUCAUGGAGCACUAAGGUAUGUGACUUUUGGAGACAACUCCAAGGGUAAGGUACUUGGUCUUGGUAAGGUGGAUGUGACAUCCACGGAUUAUGCUAUAGUAACCCUUGUAAUUAAGGUAUAAUGACCUUUGUAAUUAAGCUAUAGUAACAUGGGGAUUAAGCUAAUGCUUUUGCUAAUCCACGUGUGUUCGCUUUUGGAAUCAAAGCUCAAUUCAAAUUCCUUUGCAAUUCCAAUUCAUCUAAAAAAUGGUUUUAAUAACUUUGCAAACCUGAAAACAAAAAUCAUAUUGGGGUUGAAAAUAAUCCCCUGGUAUUUAUAAAAUUAUGAGAAACUUUUUAUCAAAUGAUUAAGUGCCUCAAAACAAUUAAAACUAGGGCGAAAACAACUAUUAAAUGCGUGUUGCACUUUUACCGUUUACUAAUAAAUUCUAAAAACACCCCAAAAAACAAUUGUGGCACUCUACAAAAACACAUUAAAAAUAGUUUAGGUACUNNNNNNNNNNNNNNNNNNNNNNNNNNCCCCACAUGGCCGCCACGCCAGGCCGGCCCAAACAAGCCAACUAACGAGGGGGUAUAUAAACCCCCAUACCCUAACCUACCCAACGAUCCACCCCCACUUCCCCCCGAGCUCCCUCGAGUGGCGGCGGCAGGCUUGCCUCGCCCCCUCGAUGGAUCCCGGCGACCCCACCGACCAUCACUGUCGCUGGCUGCCUCUGCCUCGCCGGCCCCAUCGAGCCUCGUUGCCCCCAUUCCCGGCAACGCCGGUGAGCCACGAGGCUCCACCCUCCCCGUGUUUCCCCCUCCGACAGCACUUCGACGAGCAGCCCCGAUGCUUUGCGCCCCGGUGGUCGUCUCCACCUCGCUGCCGCCGAUGCCGCCCCGCUAGCCUUGCUCCGCCUCGCUCUAGCGCCGCGCAGCCCCGCAGCCCCGGCUGCCCGCACCAGCCCGACCGCGUCGUGUGCGCCUGAUACGCCCAUUUUGCAUCAUGUUUUCACGUUGAUAUUUAUCGCUUCUUUGGCUGUUAUUUCACUUCACAGUACUAUUCUUAUGCCUUUUCUCUCUUAUUUUGCAAGGUUUACAUGAAGAGGGAGAAUACCGGCAACUGGAAUUCUGGCCUGAAAGUGGAGCAAAGUUGAGAUACCUAUUAUGCGCAACUCCAAACGCCGUGAAAAUCAACGGAGAUUUUUUCCCAAUAUAUAAAAAAUAUUAGGCCGAAGAAGUAUCGGAGAAGGGCCAGGGGGUGGCCACAAGCCUGCACGACGCGGCCACCCCCUGCUGGUGGCUACGCCUAUAGGGAUUUCCUUGGCAAAUAUGCAAAGGAUUCCCCCGCGGCCUUGGAGCCUUGUGUUGGUGUUUCCUUGAAGAGGAAAGGGUGAUGUAGCACAACGGCGGUAAGUAUUUCCCUCAGUGUGAGAACCAAGGUAUCAAUCCAGUAGGAGGAUCGCGUCAAGUCACAAGUGCGUGCACAAACACAAAGAGCUUGCACCCAACGCUAUGAAGGGGUUGUCAAUCCCUUAUAGAUUGUUUGCAAAGUGAGAACUGAAAGCAAAAAGUAAACAAAGCAAAGUGAAAGUAAAAGCGGAGAUGAUAAUUGUGAGUAGACCCGGGGGCCGUAGUGUUCACUAGUGGCUUCUCUCAUGAAAGCAAGUAGACGGUGGGUGAACGAAUUACUGUCGAGCAAUUCAUAGAACCGCGCAAAGUCAUGACGUUAUCUAUGGCAAUGAUCAUACAUAUAGGCAUCACGUCCAAAACAAGUAGACCGAUACUUUCUGCAUCUACUACUAUUACUCCACACGUCGACCGCUAUCCAGCAUGCAUCUAGUGUAUUGAGUUCAUAAGAACAGAGUAAUGCCUUAAGCAAGAUGACAUGAUGUAGAUGGACAAUCUCAAAUCUAUGAUGAAAGCCCAUCUUGUUACCCUUGAUGGCAACAACAUGAUGCGUGCCUUGCUGCCCCUUCUGUCACUGGGAAAGGUCACCGCACGGUAUGAACCCAAAACCAAGCACUUCUCCCAUUGCAAGAAUCAUAGAUCUAGUUGGCCAAACAAAACCCAAGAUUCGGAGAGACUUACAAGGAUAUCAAAUCAUGCAUAUAAAAAAUCAGCAAAGACUCAAAUAUAAUUCAUAGAUAAUCUGAUCACAAAUCCACAAUUCAUCGGAUCUCGACAAACACACCGCCAAAGAGGAUUACAUCGGAUAGAUCUCCAUGAAGAUCAUGGAGAACUUUGUAUUGAAGAUCCAAGAGAGAGAAGAAGCCAUCUAGCUACUAACUACGGACCCGUAGGUCUGGAGUAGACUACUCACGAGUCAUUGGAGAGGCAAUGAUGUUGAUGUAGAAGCCCUCCAGCUCCAAAGUCCCCUCCGACAGGGCACCGGGAAGGGUCCAGAUGAGAUCUCGCGGAAACGGAAGCUUGCGGCGGCGGAAAAGUGGUUUCGUGGACGCCCUAAUUUUUUCUGGGAACAUCGCCGGGGCAUUCAUCAUGUGACGUCAAUCUACUCCAAUAAAUCCGUCAUUUUCAUAAACACCGCCAUCACCCUCCUGCAUCUAUUUUUAGCGGACCACUCUCCUGCAAACCAUUGUACCCCGUACUUGAACAUGGUGCAUUAUGCUUCAAAUUAUUUUCCAAUGAUGUGUUACCAUCCUAUGAUGUUUGAGUAUAUUUUUUCUUGUUCUCUGUGUGGUUGGUGAAUUACUAUGAUUGGUUUAAUUUGCUUGUGGUUAUGUUGCUGUCCUUUGGUGCCCAUCAUAUGACACCGCACGUGGAUCACACCAUAGGGUUAGUUGUAUGUUGAUAUGACUAUGCAUUGGAGGACAAGAGUGUCAGAAGCUUCUUGAUAACAUAGAAAUUGAUUCAUAUGGGAUUGAAGGGGGAUAAGUAUAGCUUAAUGCUAUGGUUAGGUUUUAUCUUAAUGAACGUUAGUAGUUAUGGAUGCUUGCUAAUAGUUCCAUUCAUAAGGGCAUAGAAUUCCAAGUAAGGGAUGCCAUUCUAGCAUCUGCCUCUCCCACAUAAACACUUGAUAUCUAUCUAGUGAAUUAGCCAAUUGCUUAGGAACAAUUUCACAAAUCCUACCACCACUUUCCCACACUUGUUAUGUUUACUUUAUUGUUCUUCUAUUAAAACAUCACACAACUUUUAUUUUCAUGUUGUUUAUUAUCUUGCAAAACUAUCUUACUACACAUACAAAGUACUUCUAGUUUUAUCCCAGAAAGUAGUUUAUUUCUUGUACUAGGUAUAACAAACAUUGUUGUGCAUAAAGUUGUAACGGUGGUCGAUAGAACUUGAGGAAAUAUUAAUUCUACCUUUAGCUCCUUGUUGAGUUCGACACUCUUACUUAUUGGAAAAGGAUACAAACGAUUCCCUAUACUUGUGUGUUAUCAGUACCACCUGCUAGUUUUAUCUCCAUGUGUGUAGGUUGUACAUCACAAGCAUAAAACUCAUCAUGAAGUUUAGGAUAAAAGGUAUAAGGUAUUACAUUAAAUAGAGGAGCACAUAUCACAAAUCCCAUAACAAGAUGUGCUACCAAAUUAACAAGGCACUACCAGCUUACUAGCGCGGGCUGCCUUGAUGCAACGUUUAAAAAAACAUGUUACGUGUUUAUCCAUUGUUUCAAUGGGCUUCUCAUUUUUUCCUCCUUUUUCGGGUCUCUACCUAGAUAUUGCAUGUAGCCUUUUCUUCCUCCUCGCUAUAUGUUCUUUGCUUAGGUACUCAAGUUGUGCCUUUCUAAUCGAAAAGGGCAAUUCUUUUACUCACUCAUAAUAAUUUUCCAUGGGAGUCACUGAUACUUCUACCUCCAAGGUCUCCAUAAUGACCUCUUACUCGUGGUCCUCAUCGAUAUAGCAUUCUCAUUUUUGAAAUAGUGAGCAGACACGAGGAGCAUACCCCAUGUUGUCUUUAAUGCCAUUCGACUCACGUAUGGACAUGUGCCCGAAGUAGGUUUAUCGGCACAUGUGUGGGGUCAAUGUAGGCGUCAUCUGAAUGAGACGAUGAGGUGUGCUUAGCUUGGCGUGCAGCGGGCGACACCCUCGGUCGGCGUGCCGCUUCAGUGGCGGAGCCAGUGGGAGGUUGCAUUCGCUUUGGACCGACAUUAAUGUAAAACGAUCGCUCUACAACGACAUGAGUGCAGGCAACUAGCAUAGGAAGAAAACACGCUCCGGCAAGGGAGGGGGAUUUUGGAUGGACCAAGAUGGUCCGAAGUGGGGUAGGUGUUGUCCGGACACCCGCAAAACCCUAUGUUUGUCUCCGGUUUGGAAGAAAGCACACACAAAACACUUGAUGGAUCGAUACAAUCCCGCGUUGAAUGUACUUUGCAGUCCCAAUGUAUCGAGGCGAUUUGAGAGUCGGAGUUGAAGAUAUCUUAAAAAAUUACAACCUUCUUUGAUUUGUAAUCUCUCAGUCUCAUAAUAUAAGAACGUUUUUAACAAUGAAAACGUUCUUAUAUUAUGAGGCGGAGGGAGUAGUAAACUUGUAGGAAUUUUAUAGGAUAGGGUUUUAAAAGUAAAAAUUCGUACAUAGCCUCUUGGUUUGUAGAAAUGAAUUUCUAUUCCUAUGUAGGAUAUGAACCAAUCCUUGACAUUUAAAAAAAAUAUAUUUGCCUAGACUUAAUAAAAAUAUCUUACCCUAUACAUCAAAUGACAUGUCUUUCUACUGUAUAAAUUGAGAUGCAUGUCAUCUACUUUUUGUACUUUUCUUGUUUCUAUGAGAUUAGAGCAAUUCUAACCGGAUGACCCACUUCAUUUGUCACAGUCCAUUUGGGUCGUCACAGGUAAAAGUGAAGGGCCAACGCGCCGACCCAUUUUCGAAACGCAUCCGCUUCCCGUUCGUGCCAACCCAUUUCAGACCCAAAUUUAGGACUGAAUUGCGUCGGCAUGGACUCAAGCAUACGCGGCGUCCGCCUUCUCAUGUUUGCGUCCGUCCACGUGUGACAUCUGGUCAAAACCAACAUUGUCUUUAUUAACGACGACCGUCCAACGCGGGCCAAUGCAUCGGCGGGAGCGACGACUGACGAAGGAGCACACAGAGGACCGACGGAUCGAGUGGAUGGAACGCGAGGCCGAAGCUGAGGAGGAGGAGCGAUGUACUGCCCAACUAGCAUCGGUGCAGCCACCGACAAACGAAGUCGUCGCCGCAUGCGAGAGGACCUUCUACUCCGCUGGCCCGACGCCGACGCUCGUCGACCUCACCGGCUCCGACGACGAUGAUGAGGAAGACACCUAGAAAAGUGCGCCUUCUCGCUUUUCAGGCCGACAAAAUUUCUUUCUUGAAAAUAAUUAUUGUGUUUUUUUGCGCUCCCUAAAAAUGAGUCAUUGACGGAUUGAAUGCAAAUGCCGAUCCAAUUACAAAACCGGAUAUAAAUGUCUGUCGGCCCAACUCAACAAACAAAAUACGGACAAAACACGUGUCCGUUUAGGUCGACCGGUUCGAAUUACUCUUAGGCCCACUUUUUUGCUAGCUUUUAGAAUAAGCUGAAAUAAGCUGCCCCCUACCUAGCUUAUUGUAGAAGCCCAACCAAAUUUAUUUAUUUAGAAGCCUACUAAUUAAGACUGUACUAAUAGGCUUUUAAAAAAUAUAUUUUUAGUUGAGCUUCUAGAAUAAGCUGGAUAAGGGCAGCUUAUUCUAUAAGCCAAAAAAAGCUAAAAAAAAUAGACCCUUACAAUGUUGUGAGAUCUCACAGCGAUCUGUAUGCCGCAUCAACUUGUCCGACCUACGAGAGGCUGCCAAUUUUUCGUACAUAUACUAUGGAAAAAACACACCCGUAUACGACCACCAGUCGAACCACCGCACACUAAUCCCCGAUCCGCAUCCUCCCUAUCCUAGCCAAUAGGAGCGCAGCGCGCAGCAACCGCGAUCCGUGGCACCGCCCAACUGCUGGCCUCUGCCGUCCGAUCGCUCGAGGCCAAGCACAAAAACAUGACAUCCAGGUCGUCCGCUCUGACCGAGACAUGGCUGGCUGGCCGCUCCCGAGUAUAAAACCCACCUCAUCCUCUGAAAGGGAAAAAAAAAAUCACUACUCAACAGCCGCUCUCCGAGUCUCCUGAAAGCUGCAACCUCCCCCUCUCGGCGAAUUUGGGGUUUCCGAAGCGCGCGAGGUAACCCUCUCCCCCUUGCCCUCUUCGAUUCGGCGUCGGUUCGGUAGCUUAAUUCCUGCGUUCCCCGCCGUGGUUGAUGACCUGUCCGCGUUAAUCUCUCUGGGGCGGUUGAUUCGUGAUGAACAUGGCGCGGAUUUGAACUUUUAGGCGCGGUUAGGGUUUGGGCGUGGUUACAGAUUCUAUUGUUUCGACCGAUGCUUUCGGGUCUUACCAUGCUUUUGGGCGUUGUUUUGUUGUUUGAUAGCGGACCGAUUGAUGUAGUUCGAGUUCGAAUCGCAUGAUUUGACGAUAUAUGGUUUCGCGUCUUAGCCAUCAAAAGAAUUUCCGCAGAUCUGUAGAUUCUUGUACACCGUUGCUGUACCCAAGUUCGUUAGCUGUGCAAUAUUUGAUUUCUGUCGGCUAAUCUGCUGGCACCUCAAAUACGUACUCUCAUGUUUGUUACAGUUGUAUAAAUUCUGCUUCGCAUUAUUGUGGUGCGUGCUAUAUCUUUUGAGUUGUUGAAACUCUUGUUUGGAGAAUUGGUAUCUGUGGGUUGGUAGUUUCUUUUAGAACUGUAAGGGUUGGAACAAAUCGGCAUGAAUUCAUAGUGUUCAUUGACAUAUGCAGUAUCGGAAGUCUGCAUCCAGCAUGAUCUGCGGUCAAGGCAAAUGUUAUUAUGAUACUGUUCUGAGCUUGAUGUUGUGAGCAACCUCACAUAUGGCAGGUUGCUAUCUGGGUAUGAUAGGAUCAUGAUAGUCUACUGUACUUAAUUACUCUGAUAGUGGAAGUGAAUUGUGUGCAUUGAUACAUGGAAGCAGUUGCAUAGCCAUUUUGAAAAGAUAGCAAAUGCGGCAGUGUCAAUUGAUUAAUGUCUAGUGUUGAGUUAUUUUAUCUGAAUUCAUUCCUGUGAUAAGAUAAACUAUAAGCAUAUUUGAUGCUCAUUCUUGCUAGUUAGUUUUAUCCAAGUUCGUUAGUUGUGCAAUAUUUGAUUCUGUUGGUUAAUCUGCUCCUUGAAUCUGUAAUCUCAUCUGUAUUACAGUGGUAUAAAUUUCGCUUUGAAUUAUUGUAGUGCGUGCUAUAUCUUUUGAGGAGAGAACUCUUGUUUGGAAAAUUUGGUAUCUGAGGGCAGGUAUCUGAGAGUUGUAAUGAAUUUGCUUGAGCUCAUAGUGUUUAUUGACGUGUCCAGUAUCUAAAGUCUGCAUAGUGCAUGAUAUAUGGUCAGUGCAAAUGUAAUUAUGUUACUGUUUCAGUUUGAUGUUGAGAGCAACCUGCUGUCUAGGUAUCUGUGAAUGAUAGGACCAGGAUAAACUGCUAUGCUUAGUUGCUCUGAUAGUGGAAGUGAAUUGUGUGGAUUGAUACCGAAUUCUGUUGGUUAAUCUGCUUGUUUAAUCCGUAAUCUCAUGUGUAUUACAGUUGUAUAAAUUUUGCUUUGAAUUAUUUGAGUGUGUGCUAUAUCUUUUGAGCAGAGAACUCUUGUUUGGAGAAUUCGGUAUCUGAAGGCAGGUCAUUUCUAUUAGACUGUAGGGUUGGAACGAAUUUGCAUGAGCUCAUAGUGUUUAUUGACAUCUCCAGAUCUAAAGUAUGCAUACUGCAUGAUAUAUGGUCAGUGUGAAUGUACUUAGGUUACUGUUUCAGUUUGAUGUUGAGGGCAACCUGCUGUCUAUGUAUCUGUGAAUGAUAGGACCAGGAUAAACUGCUGUACUUAGGUGCUUUGAUAGUGGAAGUGAAUUGUGUGCAUUGAUAAGCAGUUGCAUAACCAUCAUGAUAAGAUUGCAAAUGGAACAGUUUUGAUAGCCUAACAUCUAGUAUUGAUUUAUUGUAUCUGAAUUGUACCAACUUGCUAGUUAGCUAAUGUUCAUUCUUGUGUAAAGUGAAAACUAACAGCAUAUGCAGAUAACUAUGUGAAGAUGACGUUCAGUCAUUAUAUGAGAUACUAACUAGGAAGCAUAUAAUUUUAUCAGUGGACUGCUAUUUCUUUUCUGGCUUCUAUUUGCAAAAUUAGAAAUACACCGAAUGAUUUGCUAGCAACUAUGCAUGGUUAUUAGAGAACUGUAGUUAUGGUAUUGUCAUAUUCAUAUGACUGACUAUGAUCCUUUUUUGCUUUAGGUGAACCAAAGUUUUGAUCAUGGCUCGUACUAAGCAGACUGCUCGUAAGUCCACUGGAGGGAAGGCUCCAAGGAAGCAGCUAGCCACCAAGGUUUGUCACUGCAACAAUGACAGAUUAUUAGUGGUUUGAGUAAACGAACUUGUAAAAUAUGAACUGUUGCUCAUACAUGGCCAGUUUCUUAUCAGAUAUCUUGUUGAUAUAGAUGGAUUGUUAUGUUAUUAUUAUUGUUUGGUUGACCAUACACUCUGUUUUGCUGUUCAACAGGCUGCCCGCAAGUCUGCUCCCACAACUGGAGGAGUGAAGAAGCCUCACCGUUACCGCCCUGGAACUGUUGCUCUUCGGUGCGUAAAGCCUUCCAACCUAUGCUAGCAUGUGUUACUGCAUACAGUUUCGUUUUAAAGUAUUCUCAAAUGAGUAAGCUUUGUGCUUGACUUUGCAGUGAGAUCCGCAAGUACCAGAAGAGCACGGAGCUGCUCAUAAGGAAGCUUCCAUUCCAGAGGCUUGUCAGGGAGAUUGCCCAGGACUUCAAGGUGAUCAAUCAACUUGUGCACUGCAUUGCUAUGCUCCUGUUAUGUCAAAUUCUUAUCAAUCAAGUAAGCUAAAAGCACCGUCGGUGUGUCUGUGCAGACUGACCUCCGCUUCCAGAGCCAUGCGGUGCUUGCCCUUCAGGAGGCUGCAGAGGCCUACCUGGUGGGUCUCUUCGAGGACACCAACCUGUGCGCCAUCCAUGCCAAGCGUGUGACCAUCAUGCCCAAGGACAUUCAGCUGGCUAGGAGGAUCCGUGGCGAGAGGGCUUAAGCUGCUUUGCCUGUGGGAAUGGCUCUGGUGGGCAUAGCUCCGUGUGUCUGCUUUUGCUGCUGAACACUUAUCAUGUGUCGUGAACUACUAAUACUAGUUGUCUGUAGUAAUAUGUCAGUACU